UCUUAUCAUAUAUAUGAUUUUCAAAUAUUUUCUCCCAUUCAGUAAGUUGCCUUUUUAUUUUCUUGAUGAUUUCCUUUGCUGUGCAGGUAGUGUUUUUCAUAUCAAGGAAAAAAAGGUAUUCAAAUAUGAUUUUACUUUCUCUAUGCCCAACAGACUUCAGACAACAUGUGUCAACAACAAGAAUCAAGAGUCUUCAGAUGACAGUACUGAAAGGACUGCUAAGAAUCAUCACACAGAGUGUGUCUCUAACAAACUAAAAAUAGG
rnacentral:lncRNA from 1 species